UCACUGGUGGCGCAGUGGUUAGCAUUGCCACCUCACAGUAAGAAGGUAGUGGGUUCGAAUCCCGCCUGGGGCC